UUCCAGCUCACCUGCUCCAGAUGGGUGGCACAGUGGGAGGACACUGGCAAAGGCAGAUGUGUUUAUUUUCCAGAGACAAAAUGUUGAGCUGUUGCAGAUGGCAGUGCCUUGGAGCAAGUGGCAGCCUUUGACACCACUGCCACACAGCCUGGGCAUCUUGACAGACAGAGCUGGCUUACUCUUGGUGAUGGGGAAACUGAAGAGAAAAACAAAAUUGAAGCUGUUAAUCAAUUCCUGGACUUUUGGUGCAAGUAGCAGUUUUCUGCUGGUGGGGAGUAGUUUUCUUCCCCCACAAUUGCCUCAGUCAGCUAGUCGGCUAACUGGACUUUCAUUGUGGGUCGGGAGUUAAGUGUGUUUGUGACAUCGGUAGAACAGACUAAAAGCUGGAACAGGGCUCCAUUUAGAUAGGUAUUCUAAUUGUAACUGCAAAACAUAUCCCACAUAUCCACAUAUCCCAGGUCACAGCAGUCUCCUAGGAUUGGGGACGGCUCCUGUCUGCCCCACUGGAGAUGCUACCGUUCUAUUUUUAGUGGUCAUUUUGAUUAUUCAAAGGCCCAGGGACAGGUGUGCCUUGAAGUUGAGGUACCUUAAUUAAUAUGAUAACACUAUGCUUAUAGUGUUUUUUUACCAGAGUGAAAAUUCUGACAGCUGUCCUUUUAAGUAGUUUGCUUAUUUAGUCAUUAGGGCUUGACUAAGUCCAUUAAGACAAAGAGUGGUUGUUGAAUCAUUAUGCCUACUGGCUCCU
rnacentral:lncRNA from 1 species